GGUUCUUGUUUUGCACCACUGAUGCAUAAUGAAGAGGAAUCCAUUGUGCAACUAAUGAAUUUGGGUUCUUCAUCAUCAGUGAAGGUAGAGUCAUCAACGGCAUGAACUAUGUAGGAAAAGUGCAAUGAGAUCUCCAACUAAGGUCCUGUCAAAAGCAAGCUCGCCAAGAUCAGAGUCUCCCCCAUAAACCAACAAGGUUCUGGU
rnacentral:lncRNA from 1 species